rnacentral:sRNA from 2 species
UCGAGCGGAACGCCGAAUCCUGCCGCCGCUCGCAGGUCCGUACGACUCGCCGGCAGGGGCGGGGGAACCACAUCUGGUCACCGGAGGUCUCGGUGGCCUUGGGGUGAAGCCGGGCGGACGGAACGACAGCGGUGCACCACGGUGCGCAGCAGGUCGUGACGGACGACCGGCCGGGUGAUCUCCCACCCGAACCCGACAGCUCACCUCGUAGGCGCCAGGAGAGGCAAC